rnacentral:rRNA from 1 species
UGAGGAAUAUUGCGCAAUGGGCGAAAGCCUGACGCAGCAACGCCGCGUGGAUGAUGAAGGCCUUCGGGUUGUAAAAUCCUUUUCUGGGGGACGAUAAUGACGGUACCUCAGGAAUAAGUCCCGGCUAACUACGUGCCAGCAGCCGCGGUAAAACGUAGGGGGCGAGCGUUAUCCGGAAUUAUUGGGCGUAAAGAGCACGUAGGCGGCACUACAAGUUGGGCGUGAAAGCUCUCGGCUUAACCGGGAGAGGUCGUUCAAAACUGUAGGGCUUGAGGUUGAUAGAGGAGAGUAGAAUUCCCGGUGUAGUGGUGGAAUGCGUAGAUAUCGGGAGGAAUACCAGUGGCGAAAGCGGCUCUCUGGAUCACACCUGACGCUGAGGUGCGAAAGCGUGGGUAGCAAACAGG